rfam:Drosophila ananassae strain TSC#14024-0371.13 Ctg01_16009, whole genome shotgun sequence.
CUUUUGGGGGGUCAAACUGUACGUUCUAUGUGGCAAUCUUAGAAAUUCAUAAGCGUAUAGCUUUUCCCCUUAAAAG